rnacentral:hammerhead_ribozyme from 1 species
GCACUUCUGACAAGUCCCAAACAGGACGAAACAACUGUCCAGUGC